UGGGAAACUGCCUUUGUGACUGCAUAGCUAGAGUACGGUAGAGGGGGGAUGGAAUUCCGCGUGUAGCAGUGAAAUGCGUAGAUAUGCGGAGGAACACCGAUGGCGAAGGCAAUCCCCUGGACCUGUACUGACGCUCAUGCACGAAAGCGUGGGGAGCAAACAGGAUUAGAUACCCUGGUAGUCCACGCCCUAAACGAUGUCAACUGGUUGUUGGGAGGGUUUCUUCUCAGUAACGUAGCUAACGCGUGAAGUUGACCGCCUGGGGAGUACGGCCGCAAGGUUGAGACUCAAAGGAAUUGACGGGGACCCGCACAAGCGGUGGAUGAUGCGGUUUAAUUCGAUGCAACGCGAAAAACCUUACCUACCCUUGACAUGUCUGGAAUCCUGAAGAGAUUUGGGAGUGCUCGAAAGAGAGCCAGAACACAGGUGCUGCAUGGCCGUCGUCAGCUCGUGUCGUGAGAUGUUGGGUUAAGUCCCGCAACGAGCGCAACCCUUGUCAUUAGUUGCUACUAAAGGGCACUCUAAUGAGACUGCCGGUGACAAACCGGAGGAAGGUGGGGAUGACGUCAGGUCAUCAUGGCCCUUAUGGGUAGGGCUACACACGUCAUACAAUGGCCGGGACAGAGGGCUGCCAACCCGCGAGGGGGAGCUAAUCCCAGAAACCCGGUCGUAGUCCGGAUCGUAGUCUGCAACUCGACUGCGUGAAGUCGGAAUCGCUAGUAAUCGCGGAUCAGCUUGCCGCGGUGAAUACGUUCCCGGGUCUUGUACACACCGCCCGUCACACCAUGGGAGCGGGUUCUGCCAGAAGUAGUUAGCCUAACCGCAAGGAGGGCGACUACCACGGCAG
rnacentral:rRNA from 1 species